AAAACAACUCGCGCCAUCUAGGGAUUUGCUACAAAAUCCAAUAACUCAUUAAACUACAAAACCCAUGAGGAGUAAAAAAUUUCUUUCGGGAUGGAUAGUUCCAACAGAUUCCAAGCAGUUAUACAUCGAUUUUGCAAACAUACCAUCUUAUGCAAGACAUUUGUAAGCCAUACUUUUACUAUUUCACAUUUUCAUGUUGCAAAAAAAAGCGAUUCUUUCUGGGCCAUCAGUUCAGCAUCAGUUCACGCGGUAAGAGAUGGCGCUGAAACCACCACCUGCUUUCCCUCGAAAAAACAAAACAAAACACUAACAACGGGAAACAAAAAUCUUCCCACCAAACUACUACUAGCUUCGUAAAAUCUUUCCUACCGAGUCGUGACUACUCAAGUCACAAAACAAAGGAAAGGCCUUGGGCCGAAGAUGUGUAAUGGCCAUAAACAACAUCCACUAAAUGAACCGCCAAAAGAAUAAUUGCAAGGUGAACGAUAGGUACGUACCAACCCAAACCUUGUUAGUGAGGUAAAUGACAAAUGAAUAGCUUUGCACUCAUGUUAUUAUCGACAUAAUGAUGUGCUGAUGAUGUCAUUUGCCCUUUCAUAUCUUUAACGGAAAUGUACUUUACCACACAGAGAAAUGCAACAAGUAAAUAUAGAUGGACAGUUAAAAAAAAAACGGAUGGAAACCGGUCGGUUGUAACAGCAAUGACAAAAGACGACAAAAACUUGCCUGGACAAAUAGACUAACAAAAAAAAAAAAAAGAAAGAAAGGGAACGUGAUGACGUGACCGGCAACGAUUAUCCAGCAAAAAUGUUUGAAGAAUGUUUUUUUUUUAUUAUUCUUUCGGCAACUUAGAACUCCCAGCACAAAAGGACAUACACACUCACGCACGAACGUCGACAAAACACAACUGUUCAACACCAAUGUCAACAGCAGUCUGCGUGACGUCAAAACUUUUCCACCACCACGACGGACUGUGCCGGCUCACGAAUAAAAAAAAAACACAUGAAAAGAAAAAGAAAAAAAAAACACGUUUCAGUUAUGGAAAGGAAGGAAGAAGGAAAUGCUUAGAAUUUUUUUGUGUUAUUGUUGUUGCUUAGAGUAGGGGAGAAAUCGAAUCACGAAUGAGUGAGUGAGGCGAUAUGAAA